rnacentral:misc_RNA from 1 species
UCUCAAAUCACAAACAAUUAAAAACCUGAUUUCUUCAAGUGAUGAUUUCCCUAGCUUGCAACGUCAACCCCUUGUUCGGAACCAGUGGAUUUUGAAGGAUUUCAUUGGCGGUGUUUGGAAUGAAUAGAAAAUAUAGGAUUUCAAAAUCAAAAUGAAUCGAAAUCUUGUUUAGAUCAAAAGAAAAUUUCCGACGUUAACCCCUCGGCGUGGCGGUGGGUGGCUGCCGCAGGGAGGGAGGAAGGAGAAAGAAAUCUGGGUGGGUGGCGAUGAGCAGCUGGACGUCGACAGGAGAGA